GAAUAAGAGUCAUUCAUUCUCAUUUCUUUUUCGUAGUCUCAUUCCUCCAACUAAAUGUGUACUAAGAGAAUAUUUGGUUUACGACUGGAAUCGAAAUUGCAAUCAGAAUGGAUUGAAAUGAGAAUUGGAAUGACCAUAUCCCUUAAAACAUUUGGUUUGUGACUGAAAUCACAAUCUAAAUCAAAAUCGGAAUGAAAAUUUGAAUCCUUAGAAGAGAGUGGGGAUCGGAUUUUAGGAGGAUUAGAUUAUUCCCAUUCCGUCCAAAAAUCAGAACG
rnacentral:lncRNA from 1 species